rnacentral:rRNA from 1 species
GUUAUAGGAUCAAGUGACUAAGUGCAUGCGGCGGAUGCCUUGGCGAUCACAGGCGAAGAAAGACGCGGCAGCCUGCGAAAAGCUGCGGGGAGCUGGCAAACGAGCUUUGAUCCGCAGAUAUCUGAAUGGGGGAACCCACACCGCAAGGUGUAUCCGUAACUGAAUACAUAGGUUACGGAGGCGAACGAGGAGAACUGAAACAUCUAAGUAUCCUCAGGAAAAGAAAUCAACCGAGAUUCCGGCAGUAGCGGCGAGCGAACCCGGAGGAGCCCAGCUUUUGAUAGUACGAACUUUAGCCGAAAGGACCUGGAAAGGCCUGCUAUAGUGGGUGAUAGCCCCGUAGGCGAAAGAGUUGGUACGGUACUAAGGAAGCGAGAAGUAGAGCGGGACACGUGGAAUCCUGUUCGAAGACGGGGGGACCAUCCUCCAAGGCUAAAUACUCGUGAUCGACCGAUAGUGAACCAGUACCGUGAGGGAAAGGCGAAAAGAACCCCGGGAGGGGAGUGAAAUAGAACCUGAAACCGCAUGCAUACAAACAGUAGGAGCCUUUACGGAGGUGACUGCGUACCUUUUGCAUAAUGGGUCAGCGACUUACAUUCUGUGGCGAGCUUAACCGAAUAGGGGAGGCGCAGCGAAAGCGAGUUCGAAAUGAGCGUUCAGUCGCAGGGUGUAGACCCGAAACCAGAUGAGCUAUCCAUGGCCAGGUUGAAGGUGUGGUAACACACACUGGAGGACCGAACCGACUAGUGUUGCAAAAUUAGCGGAUGAGCUGUGGAUAGGGGUGAAAGGCCAAACAAAUCUGGAGAUAGCUGGUUCUCCCCGAAAACUAUUGAGGUAGUGCCUCGUGUGUCGCUCCAGGGGGUAGAGCACUGUUUUGGCUAGGGGGACAUGGAGUCUUACCAAACCAAGGCAAACUCCGAAUACCUGGAAGCGUAAGCACGGGAGACAGAGCACCGGGUGCUAACGUCCGGACUCAAAAGGGAAACAACCCAGACCGCCGGCUAAGGUCCCAAAUAACAGCUAAGUGGAAAACGAAGUGGAAAGGCCGUGACAACCAGGAAGUUGGCUUAGAAGCAGCCAUCCUUCAAAGAAAGCGUAAUAGCUCACUGGUCGAGUCCUUCUGCGCGGAAGAUGUAACGGGGCUAAGCUGUUAACCGAAGCCGCGGAUGCGCUGGUUAUCCAGUGCGUGGUAGGGGAGCGUUCUGUAAGUCUGCGAAGGCGGUUCGAGAGGACUGCUGGAGAUAUCAGAAGUGCGAAUGCUGACAUGAGUAACGUUAAAGCAGGUGAAAAGCCUGCUCGCCGUAAGCCCAAGGAUUCCUGCUCUACGUUCAUCGGAGCAGGGUGAGUCGGCUCCUAAGGUCAGGCCGAAAGGCGUAGCCGAUGGGAAUCAGGUUAAUAUUCCUGAACCUGCGUCAGAUGCGAUGGGGGGACGGAGCAUGGAAGAUCAUCCGGGUGUUGGAAGUCCCGGUUGUUUAGCGUAGGAGGUCUGCAGGCAAAUCCGCAGACGCAUCUCCAAGGCAAAGACACGUGCCGCCACGGCGGCGAAGUGAUCGGAAGUGCUUCCAAGAAAAGCCUCUAAGCCCCAGUCUGACGCGGACCGUACCGCAAACCGACACUGGUGGGCGAGCUGAAUAUGCUCAGGCGCUUGAGAGAACUCGGGAGAAGGAACUCGGCAAAUUGACACCGUAACUUCGGAAGAAGGUGUGCCGUAGUACCGUGAGAGGAGAGACACCUUGAGCGGGAAACGGUCUCAGAGAAUAGGUGGCUGCGACUGUUUAUUAAAAACACAGCACUCUGCAAAGUCGAAAGACGACGUAUAGGGUGUGAUGCCUGCCCGGUGCUGGAAGAUUAAUUGAUGGGGUGAGAGCCCUUGAUCGAAGUCCCAGUAAACGGCGGCCGUAACUAUAACGGUCCUAAGGUAGCGAAAUUCCUUGUCGGGUAAGUUCCGACCUGCACGAAUGGCAUAACGAUGGCCACACUGUCUCCUCCCGAGACUCAGUGAAGUUGAAAUGUUUGUGAUGAUGCAAUCUACCCGCGGCUAGACGGAAAGACCCCAUGAACCUUUACUGCAGCUUUGCAUUGAACUGUGAACCGAUUUGUGUAGGAUAGGUGGGAGGCAGAGAAGAGGCCACGCCAGUGGUCUUGGAGCCGACCUUGAAAUACCACCCUGAUUUGUUUGCGGUUCUAACCACGGACAGUGAUCCUGUCUUGGGACCGUGCAUGGUAGGCAGUUUGACUGGGGCGGUCUCCUCCUAAAGGGUAACGGAGGAGUACGAAGGUACGCUAGGUACGGUCGGAAAUCGUGCUGAUAGUGCAAUGGCAAAAGCGUGCUUGACUGCGAGAGCAACAACUCGAGCAGAUGCGAAAGCAGGUCAUAGUGAUCCGGUGGCUCUGAAUGGAAGGGCCAUCGCUCAACGGAUAAAAGGUACUCUGGGGAUAACAGGCUGAUACCGCCCAAGAGUUCAUAUCGACGGCGGUGUUUGGCACCUCGAUGUCGGCUCAUCUCAUCCUGGGGCUGUAGUCGGUCCCAAGGGUAUGGCUGUUCGCCAUUUAAAGAGGUACGUGAGCUGGGUUUAAAACGUCGUGAGACAGUUUGGUCCCUAUCUGCCGUGGGCGUUGGAAGAUUGACGGGGGCUGCUCCUAGUACGAGAGGACCGGAGUGGACGCACCUCUGGUGUACCGGUUGUCACGCCAGUGGCAUUGCCGGGUAGCUAAGUGCGGAAGAGAUAACCGCUGAAAGCAUCUAAGCGGGAAACUUGCCUGAAGAUGAGUCUUCCCGGAGGUUGAACCUCCCUCAAGAGUCGUCCGAGACCAGGACGUCGAUAGGUCAGGUGUGUAAGCGCUGUAAGGCGUUAAGCUAACUGAUACUAAUUGCUCGUGAGGCUUGAUCCUAUAACC